rnacentral:rRNA from 1 species
GUGGGGGGUAUUGCACAAUGGGGGGAAACCCUGAUGCAGCGACGCCGCGUGAGUCGAAGAAGGCCUUCGGGUCGUAAAGCUCUGUUUCGAGGGAAGAAAAAUGACGGUACCUCGGGAGAAAGCCCCGGCUAACUACGUGCCAGCAGCCGCGGUAAUACGUAGGGGGCAAGCGUUAUCCGGAAUCACUGGGCGUAAAGGGUGCGUAGGCGGCCAAUAAAGUCAGAGGUGAAAGGCUACGGCUCAACCGUAGUAAGCCUUUGAAACUUAUUGGCUUGAGUGCAGGAGAGGAGAGUGGAAUUCCUAGUGUAGCGGUGAAAUGCGUAGAUAUUAGGAGGAACACCAGUGGCGAAGGCGACUCUCUGGACUGUAACUGACGCUGAGGCACGAAAGCGUGGGGAGCGAACAGGAUUAGAUACCCUGGUAGUCCACGCCGUAAACGAUGAGUGCUAGGUGUUGGGGGUCAAACCUCAGUGCCGCAGCUAACGCAUUAAGCACUCCGCCUGGGGAGUACGCACGCAAGUGUGAAACUCAAAGGAAUUGACGGGGACCCGCACAAGCAGCGGAGCAUGUGGUUUAAUUCGAAGCAACGCGAAGAACCUUACCUGGACUUGACAUCCUUCUGACCGGUGAGUAAUGUCACCUUUCCCUUCGGGGACAGAAGAGACAGGUGGUGCAUGGUUGUCGUCAGCUCGUGUCGUGAGAUGUUGGGUUAAGUCCCGCAACGAGCGCAACCCUUGUCUUUAGUUGCCAGCAUUUGGGAUGGGCACUCUAGAGAGACUGCCGGGGACAACUCGGAGGAAGGUGGGGAUGACGUCAAAUCAUCAUGCCCCUUAUGUUCAGGGCUACACACGUGCUACAAUGGCCGAUACAAAGGGCAGCGAAGGAGCAAUCCGGAGCAAAUCUCAUAAAGUCGGUCUCAGUUCGGAUUGUGGGCUGAAACUCGCCCACAUGAAGUCGGAGUUGCUAGUAAUCGCGAAUCAGAAUGUCGCGGUGAAUGCGUUCCCGGGUCUUGUACACACCGCCCGUCACACCAUGGGAGUCGGAAGCGCCCGAAGCCAGCUGCUCAACCAGCAAUGGCAGAGAGUUGUCGCAAGGUGAAGGCCGCAUGGGCUGGGGUGCAAGUCGUAC